rnacentral:rRNA from 1 species
GACGUAGGGUCCGAGCGUUGUCCGGAAUUACUGGGCGUAAAGCGCGCGCAGGCGGUUGGUCGCAUCGGCGGUGAAAGCCCCCCGCUCAACGGGGGAGGGUCCGUCGAGAUGGGCCGACUGGAGGCAGGGAGAGGUCAGUGGAAUUCCGGGUGUAGUGGUGAAAUGCGUAGAGAGUCCGGAGGAACACCAGUGGCGAAGGCGGCUGACUGGACCUGACCUGACGCUGAGGCGCGAAGGCGUGGGGAGCGAACGGGAGUAGAUACCCUGA